AUGCUCCCUCUGGACAUUGGGGCCCUCUGCCUCGUCUGUUUCCUCAUGCCCUCGACACCACACCGUGUCCUGGAGCUUCACCUUUGCCACUUGCUGACUCCCCGGCCCGCGUCCCCUCCUCUUUCCUUCUCCUAA
rnacentral:rRNA from 1 species